rnacentral:rRNA from 1 species
UACGUAGGUGGCAAGCGUUGUCCGGAAUUACUGGGUGUAAAGGGAGCGCAGGCGGGAAGCCAAGUCAGCUGUGAAAUCCCGCGGCUCAACCGCGGAACUGCAUUUGAAACUGUCAGUCUUGAGUACCGGAGAGGUCAUCGGAAUUCCUUGUGUAGCGGUGAAAUGCGUAGAUAUAAGGAAGAACACCAGUGGCGAAGGCGGAUGACUGGACGGCAACUGACGGUGAGGCGCGAAAGCGUGGGGAGCAAACAGG